ensembl:snRNA U2 U2 spliceosomal RNA
AUUAUUUUUCUAAAAAAAAAAAAAAAAAAUCUGUUCUUAUCAGUUUAAUAUCUGAUACGUCCCCCAUCGGGGGACUACAUAUUAAAUGGAUUUUUCGAACAGGGUGUCGGAAAUGGGGCUUGCUCCGUCCGCUCCACGCAUCGACCCGGUAUUGCAGUACCUCCGGGAACGGUGCAACACUU